AGUGAACGCUGGCGGUAGGCCUAACACAUGCAAGUCGAACGGCAGCGCAGUAAGAGCUUGCUCUUACGGGUGGCGAGUGGCGGACGGGUGAGGAAUACAUCGGAAUCUACUUUUUCGUGGGGGAUAACGUAGGGAAACUUACGCUAAUACCGCAUACGACCUACGGGUGAAAGCAGGGGAUCUUCGGACCUUGCGCGAUUGAAUGAGCCGAUGUCGGAUUAGCUAGUUGGCGGGGUAAAGGCCCACCAAGGCGACGAUCCGUAGCUGGUCUGAGAGGAUGAUCAGCCACACUGGAACUGGGACACGGUCCAGACUCCUACGGGAGGCAGCAGUGGGGAAUAUUGGACAAUGGGCGCAAGCCUGAUCCAGCCAUACCGCGUGGGUGAAGAAGGCCUUCGGGUUGUAAAGCCCUUUUGUUGGGAAAGAAAAGCAGCAGGUUAAUACCCCGCUGUUCUGACGGUACCCAAAGAAUAAGCACCGGCUAACUUCGUG
rnacentral:rRNA from 1 species